CCUACGGGAUGCUGCAGUGAGGAAUAUUGGUCAAUGGACGAGAGUCUGAACCAGCCAAGUAGCGUGAAGGAUGACUGCCCUAUGGGUUGUAAACUUCUUUUAUAUGGGAAUAAAACGUUCCACGUGUGGGAUUUUGUAUGUACCAUAUGAAUAAGGAUCGGCUAACUCCGUGCCAGCAGCCGCGGUAAUACGGAGGAUCCGAGCGUUAUCCGGAUUUAUUGGGUUUAAAGGGAGCGUAGGUGGAUUGUUAAGUCAGUUGUGAAAGUUUGCGGCUCAACCGUAAAAUUGCAGUUGAAACUGGCAGUCUUGAGUACAGUAGAGGUGGGCGGAAUUCGUGGUGUAGCGGUGAAAUGCUUAGAUAUCACGAAGAACUCCGAUUGCGAAGGCAGUUCACUGGACUGCAACUGACACUGAGGCUCGAAAGUGUGGGUAUCAAACAGGAUUAGAUACCCCUGUAGUC
rnacentral:rRNA from 1 species